GGAGAGGUGGCCGAGAGGCCGAAGGCAGCGGCUUGCUAAGCCGUAGGCGGCGAGCGCCGUCCAUGGGUUCGAAUCCCAUCCUCUCCGCCA
rnacentral:tRNA from 1 species